rnacentral:rRNA from 1 species
GAUGAACGCUGGCGGCGUGCCUAAUACAUGCAAGUCGAGCGAAUGGAUUAAGAGCUUGCUCUUAUGAAGUUAGCGGCGGACGGGUGAGUAACACGUGGGUAACCUGCCCAUAAGACUGGGAUAACUCCGGGAAACCGGGGCUAAUACCGGAUAACAUUUUGAACCGCAUGGUUCGAAAUUGAAAGGCGGCUUCGGCUGUCACUUAUGGAUGGACCCGGGUCGCAUUAGCUAGUUGGUGAGGUAACGGCUCACCAGGGCAACGAUGCGUAGCCGACCGGAGAGGGGGAUCGGCCACCCUAGGAUUGAGACACGGUCCAGACUCGUACGGGUGGCAGAAGUAGGAAAUAUUCCGAAAGGGACGAAAGUCUGACGGAGAAACGCCGCGUGCGUGAUGAAGGCUUUAGGGUAGUAAAACGCUGUUGUUAGGGAAGAACAAGUGCUAGUUGAAUAAGCUGACACCUUGACGGUACCUAACCAGAAAGCCACGGCUAACUACGUGCCAGCCGCCGCCGUAA